GGAUGAGGGCGGGGCGGUGCCACAAGGCGCGGCGUGUGGGAAGGGCAGAGGCGCGAGCCCUUCAAACCUGCCUGCAGGGUUUCAGCAGCCCUCCUCUGCUUCAGACAGCAGGGGCAUGCCUUGUGUUUGCUGCGGGAAUAGGGAUAUUUCUGUUUUCUUCUCCGAUAAGGAGGCUUGUCCUCAUGCCCUCAAGUUUUGCUCUAGGUGGAAAGGAGUCCACCUUUAACUGGCUGUAAAGUCAGCGGCGGGCAUGGACCAGUACCCCUUCGGCGACGAGAAUUCAGUUCAUUUG